GUCGCUGGCGCUGCUGAUGUUGUGCCGAGAAAUGCAUGUCAGCUGAGAAUUACUUUUGGAACGUUACUCAUCACUGUUUAGCCCCAGAAAUAAGAAUUGUAUGGGUUUUAAAUUGUACAUUUCUGUGGACCACUCUACUAUAAACGGUGCGCGUUUCCGCGAGGUGCAUGCAAUUCUCGGAGGACAUGCGUUUCUCGGCACAACACCAGUAACAACAGCGAU